UACGUAGGGUGCAAGCGUUGUCCGGAAUUAUUGGGCGUAAAGAGCUCGUAGGCGGUUUGUUGCGUCGGCUGUGGAAAUCCCGAGGCUCAACCCUCGGGUCUGCAGUCGAUACGAGCAAACUAGAGUGUUGCAGGGGAGACUGGAAGUUCCUGGGUGAUAGCGGUGAAAUGACGCAGAUAUCAGGAGGAACACCGGUGGCGAAGGCGGGUCUC
rnacentral:rRNA from 1 species